rfam:Camelus ferus unplaced genomic scaffold scaffold743, whole genome shotgun sequence.
GAGGGUAUAGCUCAAGUGGUAGAGUACAUGCUUAGCAUGCACAAGGUCCUGGGUUCUAUCCCCAGUACCUCUA